rnacentral:rRNA from 1 species
CCCUUAGAUGUUCUGGGCUGCACGCGCGCUACACUGCUGCAAUUAACGGGUUUUCUGUGCCGAAAGGCUUGGGGAAUCCUUUGAAUAUGCGGCGUGAUGGGGAUAGAAUAUUGUAAUUAUUACUCUUCAACGAGGAAUUCCUAGUAAGCGCGGGUCAGCAGCCCGCGCUGAUUACGUCCCUGCCCUUUGUACACACCGCCCGUCGCUCCUACCGAUUGAAUGGUCCGGUGAAGCGUUCGGACCGUGGCCUUUGGACGGUUCGCCGUCUGUUGGCUGCGGGAAGUUCGUUAAACCUUAUCAUUUAGAGGAAGGAGAAGUCGUAACA